UGCAGUCGCACGAGGAAGCGGAGCAAUCCGUGAGUAAAGUGGCGCACGGGUGAGUAACACGUGAAUAAUCUACCUCCGAGUGGGGAAUAACUGAGAGAAAUCUUAGCUAAUACCGCAUAACACUUACGAGUCAAAGCAGCAAUGCGCUUGGAGAGGAGUUCGCGGCCGAUUAGUUAGUUGGCGGGGUAAUGGCCCACCAAGACGAUGAUCGGUAUCCGGCCUGAGAGGGCGCACGGACACACUGGAACUGAAACACGGUCCAGACUCCUACGGGAGGCAGCAGUGGGGAAUUUUGCGCAAUGGGGGAAACCCUGACGCAGCAACGCCGCGUGGAGGAUGAAAUAUCUUGGUAUGUAAACUCCUUUCGAUGGGGAAGAUAAUGACGGUACCCAUAGAAGAAGCCCCGGCUAACUUCGUGCCAGCAGCCGCGGUAAUACGAGGGGGGCAAGCGUUGUUCGGAUUUAUUGGGCGUAAAGGGUGCGUAGGCGGUUUGACAAGUCUUAUGUGAAAUCUGUGGGCUCAACCCAUAGUCUGCAUGAGAAACUGUCGGGCUUGAGUAUGGGAGAGGUGAGUGGAAUUUCCGGUGUAGCGGUGAAAUGCGUAGAUAUCGGAAGGAACACCUGUGGCGAAAGCGGCUCACUGGACCAUAACUGACGCUGAUGCACGAAAGCUAGGGGAGCAAACAGGAUUAGAUACCCUGGUAGUCCUAGCCCUAAACGAUGAUUGUUUGAUGUGGCAGGUACCCAAUCCUGCCGUGUCGAAGCUAACGCGAUAAACAAUCCGCCUGGGGAGUACGGUCGCAAGGCUGAAACUCAAAGGAAUUGACGGGGGCCCGCACAAGCGGUGGAGCAGGUUGUUUAAUUCGAC
rnacentral:rRNA from 1 species